UAAGCGACUAAGCGUACACGGUGGAUGCCCUGGCAGUCAGAGGCGAUGAAGGGCGUGCUAAUCUGCGAUAAGCGCCGGUAAGGUGAUAUGAACCGUUAUAACCGGCGAUACCCGAAUGGGGAAACCCAGUGUGACUCGUCACACUAUCAUUAACUGAAUCCAUAGGUUAAUGAGGCGAACCGGGGGAACUGAAACAUCUAAGUACCCCGAGGAAAAGAAAUCAACCGAGAUUCCCCCAGUAGCGGCGAGCGAACGGGGAGGAGCCCAGAGCCUGAAUCAGCAUGUGUGUUAGUGGAAGCGUCUGGAAAGGCGCGCGAUACAGGGUGACAGCCCCGUACACAAAAGCGCAUGUGCUGUGAGCUCGAUGAGUAGGGCGGGACACGUGGUAUCCUGUCUGAAUAUGGGGGGACCAUCCUCCAAGGCUAAAUACUCCUGACUGACCGAUAGUGAACCAGUACCGUGAGGGAAAGGCGAAAAGAACCCCGGCGAGGGGAGUGAAAAAGAACCUGAAACCGUGUACGUACAAGCAGUGGGAGCACAGGUUUACCUG
rnacentral:rRNA from 1 species